GGCGCACGGGUGCGUAACACGUGAGCAAUCUGCCGGGAAGUGGGGGAUAGCUCGCCGAAAGGCGAAUUAAUACCGCAUGUGGCCAUUCUUCGAGUGGAGGAAAAGCCAAAGCAGCAAUGCGCUUCCUGAUGAGCUCGCGGCCUAUCAGCUUGAUGGCGGGGUAAUGGCCCACCAUGGCUUUGACGGGUAGCUGGUCUGAGAGGACGACCAGCCACACUGGAACUGAGAUACGGUCCAGACACCUACGGGUGGCAGCAGUCGAGAAUUUUUCACAAUGGGGGCAACCCUGAUGGAGCGACGCCGCGUGGAGGAUGAAGGCCUUCGGGUUGUAAACUCCUGUCAUGCGGGAACAAGCAAGUGAUAGUACCGCAAGAGGAAGAGACGGCUAACUCUGUGCCAGCAGCCGCGGUAAUACAGAGGUCUCAAGCGUUGUUCGGAUUCAUUGGGCGUAAAGGGUGCGUAGGUGGUGAUGCAAGUCUGGUGUGAAAUCUCGGGGCUCAACUCCGAAAUUGCACCGGAUACUGCGUGACUCGAGGACUGUAGAGGAGAUCGGAAUUCACGGUGUAGCAGUGAAAUGCGUAGAUAUCGUGAGGAAGACCAGUUGCGAAGGCGGAUCUCUGGGCAGUUCCUGACACUGAGGCACGAAGGCCAGGGGAGCAAACGGGAUUAGAUACCUCGGUAGUCC
rnacentral:rRNA from 1 species